rnacentral:rRNA from 1 species
GUGCCAGCCGCCGCGGUAAUACGAAUGGGGCAAGCGUUGUUCGGAAUCACUGGGCUUAAAGCGUGCGCAGGCGGCCAAGCAAGUCAGAAGUGAAAUCCCAGGGCUCAACCCUGGAAUUGCUUUUGAAACUGCAUGGCUAGAAUCCCGGAGAGGUUAACAGAAUUCCGAGUGUAGAGGUGAAAUUCGCAGAUAUUCGGAGGAAUACCAGUGGCGUAAGCGGUUAACUGGACGGGCAUUGACGCUCAGGCACGAAAGCAUGGGGAGCAAACAGGAUUAGAUACCCUUGUAGUCC